GCCUGGUGUGGUGGCGGGCACCUGUAAUCCCAGCUACUUGGAAGGCUGAGGUGGGAGGAUCACUUGAGCCCAGGAGGUUGAGGCUGCAGUGAGCCACGAUCAUGCCACUGCACUCAGCCUGGGCUACAGAGUGAGACCCUGUCUCAA
rnacentral:SRP_RNA from 1 species